AUUGUGACUCUAGAUGUGUAUCUUUGCUGUUUACCAGUCACAGACCUCCAGUUUUCCCAGACUCUUCUUGGUCGACCUGUGCCCUUCGCUACAGCUGGAGAUUGUUAUAGUGCAGCCAAGUGUCCACAGGGCCAGUUCAGCAUUAAUCUGAUCGGAACUGGUCUCAAAGUGGCUGAGGCCACCAAGUGGACAUCACAGGGCAACUAUGUGUCCGUCAAAGUCCACAGAUCUGAGGACGGAGCAAGAAUCUACGGCCGCUGCGGUGGCUUCUGUGGGAAGUGCAUUCCCCAGGCUCACAACGGCCUACUCCUUCAGGUCCACUGAGGGCCACGCACAGACCAAACCCCUACAUCUAUCCCGACGACAGGAGCCCGGGAACAUUCGAUAACAGUGAUUUGUUGGACCCUGUCGUCUUCUGGCAGUGUGAUGGAGGAGCAUUUAACAGCAUCUUAUAGUAACAGCCCCAGUUCCCAAAUGGCAGCUAAAGCAUACAAGACACUACGUACUGUGCAGUACUAGAGGGACCACCAUAAGGCCCUUCAUCCAAACUGAUCACCCUGAAGAAGAGCAUGCUAACCAAGUUGCAAUGGCUACAAAACAUGCCUGCGCUUCGGAACCUAAAAUGCUUGUUUCUUACACAGGUAUGCAUCGUACAAAGGGAUACAAAACUUUAAAUCACUGGGAAAACAACAUUUAAAACACAGAACACUUCAAGGAAGAACUUCUCAUCUUCUUCUCCCUCUCAAAACUCUGUUUCUUGCAGUUAUUCUGUGAAGUGAAGCGUAUUCUUUAAAGAAAAUGUCUGGUAAAAAACGUUCUAGUAUUUCGUCAUGAAGUGUUUUUACAGCUACACUGCAAGCCUUCAGUUACCAGCAAUGGUUGAGAAAGUGUACAAAUCCAUACGCUUUAUGUAUCUAAGAAUCGUUGCAAUCUUCUGGUGACAAAGAAGUUUUACAGACAGACACUGAAAUAAUAUGUGAGGGCUGAGUGUAAUAUGUUCUACUGAGUGAAAUCAUGAUGAAAAAUAAGAAAUACAAAAACACUGUAAUGUUUUUAGACUACUGAAAGAGCUACACUAGAGAUUAUCUUGGCCUUACGACACGUUUAAAGGAAUAUUCUGGAAUGUUAUCAAAUUAACUUUAUGGUCGAGAGUUAGAUGAAAAGAUUGAUACCACUUGCAUGUCAUUAGAUUAGUGACAAUCUUCUCAUUUUACUCUGGUGAAGUGUAUUUCCCAAAUUGUCAAACUAUUGCUUUGGAGCUGAAGACUUAACAAAAGAGUAAGCUAGCAACUAACUUCUGAUGUGACCUGCCUUGUAUCAAAGGUCAAACUGAGGAGCCUUGAGAUCAACUAUAGAUCAUUUUAGGUUUUAAUGUUGUGUAUUACUAAAGUCUGUCUGCUGUCAUCUGUUGUCGGGUAUUUCACAAAACGACUUUAACCUGCAAACACAGUCCCUGACUUCUAUAGAGAGAGAUCAACAAGUGUUUUAUCUAGUGUUUAAGUACAGUGUAAAUCCUUUCUCUGGCUUUUUUAAACCAAGGGGAUUGUUUUAUUUGAAAUGUUUGUGUUUUUCUUUAACUACGCUACACAGACGAGUUCUCAUCUGUAACACCAUUAAACAGUAUCAGUGUGAUGUCUCACCUCACACCCUCCGUUGGGCCUACUGUAGGUACCUGCAAACCCUACCUCUCACAAACAUCCAUACUCGACUGAGAUAUGUGUUGUAAUAUAUUUAUGUUUGACCAUAUUUAUUCUGUAAUGACUGUAGAUACGUUUUAUGUUUUAAGGUACAAUGACUACUACCAACGGAGGAGCCAUUGUCUGAUGUGUUUGGUCCUUUGUCUGCUUUGCUUAAAGAGGUAUUAGCCUACUACUAUUUGUAGUGUAUAACCACUAACCUUAAAUGAGGAUCUUUCGAAUGGUGCUUUUCAACUACUGGAAUUACCUGGCUUUUGGCUGCAAAUGCAUGUACUGUAAUGGUUCUCAUUAAUAUAGCUGAAAAUCUAGCAGGAAGGUAUCCAGAUAUAUAAAAUAUAUCAGACUGCACGAGAAAAUCUGCCCAUAACUCAUUAUGAAUGACUUUCACCAUGACUACUACAGCGAUCAAGUAACCUAACAUGAUGGUACUCCGAUGUUAAGCUUUAACCAAAGUUAGAAGAUAGACGCAGAUUUUUUUUUUCUCUGACAUAAUGCAGCUUCUUUUGAUUUAAGGAACAGCUGAAUAAGUAAAA